AACGAACCUUCGGGUUAGUGGCGGACGGGUGAGUAACGCGUGAGAAUCUGCCCUCAGGAGGGGGAUAACGGCUGGAAACGGCCGCUAAUACCCCAUAUGCCGCGAGGUGAAAUGAAUUUCGCCUGAGGAUGAGCUCGCGUCUGAUUAGCUAGUUGGUGGGGUAAAGGCCUACCAAGGCUUCGAUCAGUAGCUGGUCUGAGAGGAUGAUCAGCCACACUGGGACUGAGACACGGCUCAGACUCCUACGGGAGGCAGCAGUGGGGAAUUUUCCGCAAUGGGCGAAAGCCUGACGGAGCAACGCCGCGUGAGGGAUGAAGGCCUCUGGGCUGUAAACCUCUUUUAUCAAGGAAGAAGAUCUGACGGUACUUGAUGAAUAAGCCACGGCUAAUUCCGUGCCAGCAGCCGCGGUAAUACGGGAGUGGCAAGCGUUAUCCGGAAUUAUUGGGCGUAAAGCGUCCGCAGGCGGUCUUUUAAGUCUGUCGUCAAAGCGUGGAGCUUAACUCCAUUACUGCGAUGGAAACUGGGAGACUAGAGUGUGGUAGGGGCAGAGGGAAUUCCCGGUGUAGCGGUGAAAUGCGUAGAUAUCGGGAAGAACACCAGUGGCGAAGGCGCUCUGCUGGGCCAUAACUGA
rnacentral:rRNA from 1 species